GGUUGUUGCUGUCCAGUCAGUCCUCGACCAACCAACCAGUAGCGCGUAGUGUGCGAUCGCCGCGUCGCGGAGUACCUUCUUCGCGAUUGAAAACGACAACGACCUCCGAUGGAAACAGACAAAAAGAAGACUCUCUGGUGAUGGAUAUUCGCUGGAACGGCCAACAGAGUAGCUGUUCGAAAAGGAUUACCGUGAUGGCCGAAUCUAUAGUGGUGGGAUUAUUUAGUGCGUUUGUGAAAAAGUGAAGAUUGCAAGUGUGCGGUGGAAAACACUAAACUUGGUGCGUGAAUUUUCCGUCCCGAUUCCGAAGCUCUUUUUCUGUGUCGCGGUCGCCAGCCAGAAAGAAAGGACUGCUGCGUCAGUGUGAGUGUCCAAGAAUGCGUCCCGACGACCGCCGAUCGGAAAAGUGUUUGUUGCUGUUUGGAUUGAUGUAAAAAUUGUUUGAUGAAGAAUUUGGAUAUAAUACUGAUUUUGAGGAAAAAAGGUGAACCGGCGUGGAUAAUCCGGUGGGUGACGGCGAUUUUCGAUUAUUUAUAAAACGACAUUUUUCUUUCGUUCGCGUGCGUUAUUUGCAUGUGCCUCAUUGAAUCAAGAAGACCGACUGGAAGUGUGAAAUGUUACACAAAACACAAAAGAAUCAUAAAUACCUAGAUGAAAUAAAUAAAAGAAAACGUGCCGCGCCGCGCUGUUGUGAUCGCCCAGAAGUGAAAAGUUGGAAGUCUUCUUGAGACACGACGACGGGGCCCGCGCGGAUAGUGUGUGCUCGCAAGUGUGAGUGUUUGAUGUCUGCUGCAGCGGUAACAGCAACAACAAACGAUUCUGCCCACAAGAAUAAUUAUUCAGGCAAAUGAAAAUUUUCAUUUUCCCGCAAAAACCGCUGACCGUCCGCGUAAUUUUCCUUCCGCGCUAGUUUGGUGCGCGACUGGCCGUCGUCGGUCGGUAUAGUGGCUAUUUUUGGUUCCAACGAAAAUUUGUGUUCCGUGUGCGAAUUGUGUGUUGCCGUUUUUCCACCGUUCAAGGUAACAUCGGGAAGAAAGGAAGGCCGGACGGAAGGAAGUGUUGUGUGUCAAACUGUCCGCGACGUAGUGGUGCGCGCCCGGUGGAGAAGAAUACAUUCUAAUAAAUUUAAACCGUUUAACACCGACCGUGUGUGUGAUCAUAACAAAAACAAAGAAGAAAUCGACGACGGCCUGCUCUCUCUCUAUGGAUGGUUUCUGGCAGUGACUGAAGACAAGUACACUACCACCACCACCACCACGAACGACAAACGGCAGGGAAAUAGGUAGCCAGCCAGUUAGAGCCACAACAACAUUGGGAAAGGUGUACGCUUCUUGCUGGCUUCUUGGCUGGUGAAGAUCUGUGAGGAAACCCAGAAAAGCGAAUCGCGAUUGUUCGAGACUCAUUCGACCCACACGAGGGUCCAAGCAAAAGCCCCAACCGUCAGAAUAGUUUUCUUGAAGCUUAGACAGGGGGGGAAUCGUACGAAGCACGAGAACGGGUGGUAGUUGGUUACGGCUGAGAGCUGAGCUCGGUUGGAAAGAGAUAGUCAGGAAAUAACAAUUUAAUUGUUCUCAACUCGAUUCCCGAACGCGCAAUUGUUGGGAUUGGGUUGAUGGGUCCAGUAUCUUUACACCGGUCGCUUCGGCGGGCAGAGUAGCACGGGAGGAACGAAGCGAACGAACACGAGAAAUAGCAUCAGCAACUAUCAAACAGCCCCCGUCGAUUGGAAUUUUUGUUUCGUGGAUCGUUCAGAUCGAAUCGAUUUCGGUGUGUUUCACGGCGGAACGGCAGACGAGGAACAACAACUCGAUUAAAGGUAAGCGAGCGAACGAGCGAGCUAGCGUGAAGACACUAAGCUGGACGACGGUCGAGUUCAUCAAGGAGAUGAUUAACGUUUUGGAUUUGUUUUUGCUUCGACUGACUGGUCCCGGCUCGGGGCUUGAGUAUCCACACGU